CUCCCGCCGGUGACCGGCGCACGGGUGAGUAACACGUAUGAAACCUGCCCGUAGCAGGGGGAUAAGCGGAAGAAAUUCCGUCUAAUACCGCGUAACAACCCAUGGAGGCAUCUCUGUGGGUUUAAAGGAAGCGAUUCCGGCUACGGAUGGUCAUGCGUCGCAUUAGCUUGUUGGCGGGGUAACGGCCCACCAAGGCGACGAUGCGUAGGGGUUCUGAGAGGAAGGUCCCCCACACUGGUACUGAGACACGGACCAGACUCCUACGGGAGGCAGCAG
rnacentral:rRNA from 1 species